rnacentral:rRNA from 1 species
CUCCGUUGGAUCCUGCCGGACCCGACUGCUAUCAGAGUGAGAUUAAGCCAUGCGAGUUAACGUAGCAAUACGUGGCGCACGGCUCAGUAACACGUAGUCAACAUGCCCAGAGGACGUGGAUAACCUCGGGAAACUGAGUCUAAACCGCGAUAAGUGAGGAUUUCUGGAAUGGUUCCUGACUAAAAUCUAUAUGGCCUCUGGAUUGGACUGCGGCCGAUCAGGCUGUUGGUGAGGUAAUGGCCCACCAAACCUGUAACCGGUACGGGCUCUGAGAGGAGGAGCCCGGAGAUGGGCACUGAGACAAGGGCCCAGGCCCUAUGGGGCGCAGCAGGCGCGAAACCUCUGCAAUAGGCGAAAGCUUGACAGGGUUACUCUGAGUGAUUUCCGUUAAGGAGAUCUUUUGGCACCUCUAAAAAUGGUGCAGAAUAAGGGGUGGGCAAGUCUGGUGUCAGCCGCCGCGGUAAUACCAGCACCCCGAGUGGUCGGGACGAUUAUUGGGCCUAAAGCAUCCGUAGCCGGUUCUGCAAGUCUUCCGUUAAAUCCAGCCGCUCAACGGAUGGGCCGCGGAGGAUACUACAGGACUAGGAGGCGGGAGAGGCAAGCGGUACUCAGUGGGUAGGGGUAAAAUCCUUUGAUCCAUUGAAGACCACCAGUGGCGAAGGCGGCUUGCCAGAACGCGCUCGACGGUGAGGGAUGAAAGCUGGGGGAGCAAACCGGAUUAGAUACCCGGGUAGUCCCAGCUGUAAACGAUGCAGACUCGGUGAUGGGUUGGCUUCGCGCUAACCCAGUGCCGCAGGGAAGCCGUUAAGUCUGCCGCCUGGGGAGUACGGUCGCAAGACUGAAACUUAAAGGAAUUGGCGGGGGAGCA